UUCCUGCUGGAUACUGCAGGCUCCUGUCGGGGUCGCCUGCUGUGAGGACAGAAGAGCAACACGGACCGGCACUUGGGGCCUGGCCUGGGGCUGGUGGUCAGGGGCGCAGCCCUGUGCUGAACAGAUGAGCAGCUGGGGUGCCUUCUGCCCAACUCCAUCGUUAUCCCCAGCCCUAUCCCCGCCCAUUCAUCAUCUCCCAGCUGGGAACAUGAAGCAGAUUUUUUCCAGGGAAAAAUCCUUAAGGAAGGGAGUGUGAUCGAGGGAUUAGGGGCUGGCUGGGACCCAGUCACUCCUGGUCCUCUUGGCUUCCCACAGGGACAUGAUCCCCGCCUGUGCUCUUCCUGGGCAAGAUGGGCAACCCGGGUGCAACCUGGCCCUGAUACCCCCUGGCCCACAGCCCCAACUCAGCCCGGAUUGCUGGAGGUCUGGGGUGUGCAGGGAGCCAGGCAGGGCAGGCUGGGGAGCCUGGAGAAUGUUUCCACGCCGAGCAGCUGUUGUGAUCGCUGCCAAUUCCCCUCUCACUAAUCCCAGGAUUAGAGAAACAGAGUCCGGGAAUACAGGAGCCCGACUCAGGCGGUGGCGCAGGGAGCAGCCGCGUGCAGCUGGACCAUGUUCCCUGCCCGUGGUCCGUGGUUACAGCAGGACACAGCACCCGGGAUGUAGGGACCUGCCGUGAGAAAGGGCCCUCUCCUUGCCCCCCAUGCAGUACCCCUGGCGUCUUGAGCCUUGGGGGGUUGUGAGGCUCUGUGGAGAGUGUGCGGGCCUCAAACCUGUGACAGCAGCCAUGACUGUCCCACUGCGGUGUCCCCGGUAGAUGCACGGAGUAGCCCCAUGGGUCACAUCCGGUGCUGCAGGAGGGUAAACACAGGUGAAGCCUGUGUCUGUGCCCCUAUCCAAGCCUGUGAGCCCGGGCCCCCAGGUCCAUCUUCCAUCCACUUCCGGGGCAGUUGGGGUCCUGCCUGGCCUGCUUUUUGCCACACCUCUUGCCCCCCUUCUCCUAAAGUACUUUCUCUGCACUGUCCUUGCUCAGGUACCUUCUGGGCUCCCGCAGGGCACUCCAGGCCCUUGUCACCGAGUCCUGACUCGGCCCUGGUUGAUGUCCCCACAGCACCGGCCUCCUCCCGCCUCCUCCCUGGACUUCUGAGCAGCCGGCCCCAGGCCCCCAUCUCCCUCCCAGCGGAUAUAACAAGUCACAAACAAACCCGAUCUCCAGCUGUGGCCUAGAGGAGGCCAAUCAAUAAUGGCCCUAACGCGAUUACGGUGAAUUGGCUUGGGGAAGAAGCAGAUGCAGUGUAGAUGGGACAGGAGGCAGCCAGGGGGACAGAGCACGCUGAGAACUGUGCCAUGCUGCACGCAGCGCCCACACCGGACGGUUCACCAGGCUCUGCUCCACAGAAAUCUCAGAAGAAGCUUAAAACUACAAAACAGCAGUAAAGGAAGGCAGAUGUCACUUUCCAGCUCCACUGGCCGCUCCAACAUGGGGCCCAGUGGGUGGGGCAGAGGCCCAGGGCUGCGUCCCUUCUGCCUUCCUCCCAUCACCCACCUGGGCCACAUCCUCUCCGCCCACCGGGGUACCCACAGCCAUGCGCUCUGCUCAGCAGCG